CUUUUCCGCCGGCGACCGGCGCACGGGUGCGCACCGCGUAUGGAAUCUGCCUUGUACAGGGGAAUAGCCCAGGGAAACUUGGAUUAAUGCCCCGUAGUACCGUAUUUCGGCAUCGUUAUACGGUUAAAGCCUUCGGGCGGUACAAGAUGGCCAUGCGUCCCAUUAGCUAGAUGGUAAGGUAACGGCUUACCAUGGCUACGAUGGGUAGGGGCCCUGAGAGGGGGAUCCCCCACACUGGUACUGAGACACGGACCAGACUCCUACGGGAGGCAGCAGUGAGGAAUAUUGGACAAUGGAGGAGACUCUGAUCCAGCCAUGCCGCGUGCAGGAAGAAUGCCCUAUGGGUAGUAAACUGCUUUUAUACGGGAAGAAAAAGAGCUACGUGUAGCUUACUGACGGUACCGUAAGAAUAAGGACCGGCUAACUCCGUGCCAGCAGCCGCGGUAAUACGGAGGGUCCGAGCGUUAUCCGGAAUUAUUGGGUUUAAAGGGUCCGUAGGCGGGCCGAUAAGUCAGGGGUGAAAGUCUGCCGCUCAACGGUAGAACUGCCUUUGAUACUGUCGGUCUUGAGUUAUAGUGAAGUUGCCGGAAUAUGUAGUG
rnacentral:rRNA from 1 species